rnacentral:guide_RNA from 1 species
AUACUGUAAAGAGGGAAUCAUAACCCUCA